CUACGGGGCGCACCAGUGGGGAAUAUUGCACAAUGGAGGAAACUCUGAUGCAGCAACGCCGCGUGGAGGAUGACGCAUUUCGGUGUGUAAACUCCUUUUAUAUGGGAAGAUAAUGACGGUACCAUAUGAAUAAGCACCGGCUAACUCCGUGCCAGCAGCCGCGGUAAUACGGAGGGUGCAAGCGUUACUCGGAAUCACUGGGCGUAAAGCGCGCGCAGGCGGGUUUGUAAGUUGGAUGUGAAAUCCUAUGGCUUAACCAUAGAACUGCAUCCAAAACUACUUACCUAGAGUCUGGGAGGGGAAGAUGGAAUUAGUGGUGUAGGGGUAAAAUCCGUAGAGAUCACUAGGAAUACCAAAAGCGAAGGCGAUCUUCUGGAACAGUACUGACGCUGAGGCGCGAAAGCGUGGGGAGUAAACAGGAUUAGAUACCCCCGUAGUC
rnacentral:rRNA from 1 species